UACAGAGGGUGCGAGCGUUAAUCGGAAUUACUGGGCGUAAAGCGUGCGUAGACGGCUAUCUAAGUCGGGUGUGAAAGCCCCGGGCUCAACCUGGGAAUGGCAUUGAAUACGAUUAGACUCGAGUCGAACAGAGGGCUGUGGAAUUUCCGGUGUAGCGGUGAAAUGCGUAGAGAUCGGAAAGAAUAUCGAUGGCGAAGGCAACAGCCUGGGUUCAGACUGACACUGAGGUGCGAGAGCGUGGGUAGCAAACAGG
rnacentral:rRNA from 1 species